AUGGCCGCACGGGCACCGCAACCUCGCUCAGCCCAAGAUGGCCGCCGCGCCACCACCCACCGCCUCAACCCGCCCUCAACAAAGAUGGCUGCUCGAGCCGCGGCGGUGGGCGGAGAUCGAGGGGAGAGGGGAGAGGGGAGGGGGCAGCGCCCUUACCCAAAAUGGCGCCGCGAAGCCGGGAGGGGCGGGGUCGGGGCGGGGAGGCGGGGUCGGGGCGGGGCGGGGGCAGCGCCCGGCGGCGGAGCGGAAGUGGCGCGGUGCCUCCUCCAGCUGGUUGUCAUUUCGUGCGGCGGCUCGCUCCUGAGGAGACCGGGCUCGGCGGCGGCCGGGCGGGGAGCGGCGGCGGCGGCAGGAGAACAAGAAGAAGGAGAAGAAGAAGAAGGAGAAAGGAGGAGGAGAAAGGAGGAGGAAGGAGGGAGGCACCGGCUGCGGCACCGAGGAGGCAGCGUCCCCCCGCCCGGCGCCCGGCUGGUUUACAUGAGGGGGAAGGAAGCCCGCCUGGAGCCCAGAAGACGCUCAGCAGGGGAAGGACUGCUCCCAGGAGCCGCCACCGCCGCCUCCUCCUCCGACCCCCGAGCCCCGGUUAGUCCGCACGGCUCCCCCCUCCGCGGCAGCCGGCGGCCGAGCCCCUGCCCCGAGAUCUGCGGGAGAGCCGCUUAAACGCCUUCCAUGGGGGAGAGAGGAGCCCGGCCCCCCGCCGCCUGCACCUUCCCCUCCUCGCCGGAGGCUGCUCCUCUGCUGAGGUAAAAGAAACAAAAAGGAAAAGAAAAAAAAAAAAAAAAAAAGUACCCCCCCCCCCGGACGCGGCAGCCGGCGGCCGAGCCCCUGCCCCGAGANNNNNNNNNNNNNNNNNNNNNNNNNNNNNNNNNNNNNNNNNNNNNNNNNNNNNNNNNNNNNNNNNNNUGAGGUAAAAGAAACAAAAAGGAAAAGAAAAAAAAAAAAAAAAAAGGCUACCCCCACUGCAGGACGCUCGUGAGGGUGGGGGGGACACCGCGGGGGGAACCCCACAGUGAGCCGGGGCCUGGAGAGCCCAGCCUGCCAGCACCCAGCCCAGCCUGCCCGGCUGGAUGAGGAGACCCUGAAGGGGGGAAAAAAUAAAUAAAUCACCACGUACACGCACAUCCAGCCUGCCCGGAGGGAACCCACGGAUCCGGCACCAGGAGCACCCUCCCGGCUGCAGAGAGAGAGAGAGCAAAGAAAAUCGCCUUCCCCUUCCUCCCGCACAGCUCGCUGUCCCCUCCCUUCCCUUUUCCCGAACGCUGAAUGCUGAUUUCUGAGAUGAAAAUCUUCCUCCGCGGACGGCCAGGGCUCAUGUGAAGGACACGCAAAUAUUGGAUCAUAAAUAAGAAGCGAGUCUGGCGAGCUCAGAAACCCAGCCCAAAAGGAGCAGCAUCAAGAAUCCACCCUUCUCCUGCACAACUCACUCCCCACCCAACACACACAGAAUACUAAUUUCCUGAGAUAAGAUCUUACCCCUUCUAAACAACCACACGCGCACACACACACACACACGGAGUGUAUAUUAUUGCUACACAUAAUAGGUUAAACACAGCAGCACGGUAAAAAGCCUCCUCUGCAACUCACGCCUCUUUUUCACCCCUCUGAAUGCUGAAAUCCUGAGGUAAAUUUUUUUCUUACCCACAGCAAAGACUCUUUUUGAACAGGACAAAUAUAUAUUAGAUUAUAGAGAUGUAUUAAAUUAUUCCAGAUUUAAAUCUAUUUUUUUGCUGCCAAGGGGUCGGGGGACCAGACGUCAUUGUAUAUUUUUUUUCCUCUUAACUCAUUUAUGGGCGAGUCAAGGCUGCUGAGGAGGAAAAAAACAGGAUAGUUAGAAUCUCUUUAUCCUUAUUCCCCAGAAGCUUUUUCUCUCAUUGCUGUGCGUUUCGUUUAGAAAAAGGAAACCUCUUAUUUUGUGAACCAAAGAUUUAUUUUUCCCUUUCUCCUGGCUGAAGGGAGGAAACGGGCACCAAUUGACACAUUUAAAUAGUUGAAGAAAUCUAUCUUUUGCAGAAACAGAAGUCUAUAUCCAAAUCUGAAAUAAAUAGCGUGGAGGGAGAAACUGGAAUAUCUAGCUAAAACCAGGAUACUUAAUAAUCUCUCCUCGGAAGAGGAAGAGGUAAACACUAAACAUCGACUUGUUCUUACACAGAGGAU
rnacentral:lncRNA from 1 species